GCAUGGUCGAGCUGGCAAACGCCUGCUAAACCCACGAGAAGCCAGUUUCCACGGAAAUUCGGUCUUUCGUCUGGCAACUAUAAUCGGUGACGUCACUGGUCACGGGACCUAAUGUUCAGUCGGUUCAGUCUCUUUUUUCGCUUCGUUGUAGCCGGUUGUCCCGACAUGGCACUGCAGUCCCCGCCCGAUGUUCAGGACGUUCGCGGCUUUACUGGCUGUCCAGGUUGUCCAGCAGUCUUAGAACUCACAGGACAAAAAUUCUACAGUUACCCCAAAGUUCACCAUACCAGGUCACCAAUCUAUGGACAGGGUGAGCAACAACCGUAGCCUAGCACUCGCUUCUCCCGGUGCUAACAACAGGAAGCUGGAGGAAGCGCAGAAUAACAUCAACGCCCUUAGCCAAGUCUCUGGAGGCACGUUGCACCGCAGCUCGGCCAGCAGCAACAUCAGCGUCAUCAACAGCCCUGAACAGCAGCAACCGCCCUCGCAGCACCACUCCAACAAGCUCCAGCGGACCCCAAGCCACCUGAAGAGCGGCCAAGCGGCCCAGAACGGACCCCAUCACCGAACUUGGGCUUAAAGCCGGAGGCCGGGACACUACUCGGAUUCGUCAAGCGUCUACAGUGCGUUUGCGGACCACAUCUAUGAGUCCAUCGACGGUGAUGCCUCCUCGGUCGAUCGCCUGUCCGACGUCCCGCCACCGCCUGCGCCUCCCCAAUCCGAGGCGUUCUACGGAGACCUGUCCGACAUGAGCCAGCACUCCUCAUCCAGCUACGGCUACGACCAGCGGCCCUUGCUCGUCACGCCAUUGUCGGGCAAGUAUCAGGCCACACCCCUGGCAAACGUCAUGCACGGCUUUGCAAGGGCACUACGCCACGUCUUCGCCAGAGAUGCCGCGCUAUGUAUACGGAGCAGCAGAGGCACUAUGGCUCAGGCCGACGCAAGCACGACAUCGUUGGCUUCAAUGGGCCUCCUUACUCACCCUAAGAUGCUGUAAGAGGCCGCCCUGACGCAGAGGCUAGAAGACGCCCCGACAAACUUCUCCUCGGACUCGGGCAUGGUCGCCGACAGCGAGGAUUACUGGGGCACCUCACCGACGCUGCCGGACUUGUUGCACGGCCCCGUGGAGAGCAACCCUGUGGUGAUGGCUGUGUUGGACGGUGAAAAAGUGGUGAGCAGGAUUCGUUCGGAUGCCAUGAUGACGACACCAUCGAAUCCGAGAUUGCAAUAGCAGCGAUACAACCUCAGCACGUACUGCUAACCGGAGUCAUGUGUGUGAUUCGCACGUGCAUGUGCUUGUGGGAAGUGCGCGUGUUCUUUUCUUCUUUUUUUCCCCGCUUAGAAAUUCUCAUCGCAUAGGACUUUUAAGAAGCAUUCGUGUACUUAACUGAAAUGGACUGGCACUUGCGAGGGACGGACUGUGUGUGUUCCCCAGUCCGUCUACCCGUCCACGAGAGAACUUUCUUUUCAUGUCUCGGAGGAAAGCAGGUAUAGAAGAGAGGGCGGUUCUUUGAAUCCUAAGCAUCUAGUCGUCGAACACAAGAGUAGAGGGGGAUGUGCUAGUCGCUGGCGAGAGCAGAAUUGGUACAGCCAUUCUUGCUUACCGCCCGUGAUCGGAGGAAGAGCACGGACGUCUCUCGACUGCUUAAUUUAAGAAAACAAAAUGACGAGAGACUGAGCGGUGCUUUUUGCUAAGAAGCCAGGUCUAAUCGACGGCUUUGUACAUUUUUUUAUUAUUGCUGUAAGUACAAUGUAAAUCUAGACAUUCGCACCUGUAUUUAAAUGUCCUUGUUUCAUGUUGUCUUUUUUUUUCCUCUUGGAGAAUGUUGCAAGUGAACCCAGGAGAAGAGCAGGCUGGUUGUUUUUGUCAGUGUCUUGCAAAUAAGGCAUCUGAGAGCUAUUUUCGCAGUUUCGUAAGUCACCCGCUGCUAUAAGCAAAGCAUUACCAAAUCACCGACAGUGCUGUACAUAGUAUAACGGAACAAACACUGGUUGCACAAACUCUAUUUUCCUUGCUGCCACUUCGGUCCUUGCGCACGCCAAGCUUGUGAUCCGUGACCAGUCCAAUUUUACUCUAGCCUAUUUUAAACAAGAUCUGCUUCAAAAAUCAAAAAUGCAAACAGAGAGAAAGAAAAGGAAGACUCAAGCUUGGCAUAGGUAGCAUUCGUGUAAUUUUUUUCUUAUAAUCAUAGUGUGAUGUCACCUUUCAUGUCUUGAAUAGCACUCCCGUUGAUACAUUCCUAUAACCAUAUCAAAUUUGAAGCACACUAGCAAUUUGCAGCAGCCUAUGCCUUAGAAUAUCAAUUAAUGUCUCUAUUUCCUGUGUGAGGCUGCAGAGAUGUUUCAGCUAUUCUGUGAUCCCAAUGAUUGCCUAAGUUAUCCGAGAAAGGACAAUGUGUGUAUCUGUGUUAAGGAGAGGUUCUGGGCAAUUCAAGACGGCCGGAAGCUGUUAUUAAUUUAAGACGUUCGAAGUUCUUGCCUAUAACGUCUCUGGUGUCAUGGCUCGAACAAAUAGUGGUCAUUUACCGGCAGCAUGGAAGGCUGGGUGAAGUUGAAAGGUCUGCGGCCUUCUAGCACUUGUUGUACAGAAGUGUGCCAAAUAAAAAAGAAAUGUUUGAAAUCUUGCAAA